GACGAACGCUGGCGGCGUGCCUAAUACAUGCAAGUCGAACGCAUUUUCUUUCACCGUAGCUUGCUACACCGAAAGAAAAUGAGUGGCGAACGGGUGAGUAACACGUGGGUAACCUGCCCAUCAGCGGGGGAUAACACUUGGAAACAGGUGCUAAUACCGCAUAAUUCCAUUUACCGCAUGGUAAAUGGAUGAAAGGCGCUUUUGCGUCACUGAUGGAUGGACCCGCGGUGCAUUAGCUAGUUGGUGGGGUAACGGCCUACCAAGGCUGCGAUGCAUAGCCGACCUGAGAGGGUGAUCGGCCACACUGGGACUGAGACACGGCCCAGGCUCCUACGGGAGGCAGCAGUAGGGAAUCUUCGGCAAUGGACGCAAGUCUGACCGAGCAACGCCGCGUGAGUGAAGAAGGUUUUCGGAUUGUAAAACUCUGUUGUUAGAGAAGAACAAGGAUGAGAGUGGAAAGUUCAUCCCUUGACGGUAUCUAACCAGAAAGCCACGGCUAACUACGUG
rnacentral:rRNA from 1 species